CCCUUAGAUGUUCGGGGCCGCACGCGCGCUACACUGAAGGAAUCAGCACGUCUUUCUCCUUGUCCGAAAGGACUGGGUAACCCGCUGAACCUCCUUCGUGCUAGGGAUUGGGGCUUGUAAUUCUUCUCCAUGAACGAGGAAUUCCCAGUAAGCGCGAGUCAUAAGCUCGCGUUGAUUACGUCCCUGCCCUUUGUACACACCGCCCGUCGCUACUACCGAUUGGAUGGUUUAGUGAGAUCCUCGGAUUGGUCCCGGCGCGGCCUCUGGUCGUGCCGGAGUGCCGAAAAGAAUGUCGAACUUGAUCAUCUAGAGGAAGUAAAAGUCGUAACA
rnacentral:rRNA from 1 species